GGGCACUUGGUCUAGGGGUAUGAUGUGAGUAAUAUCCACUAUCUAACCUUAAUUCGAAAGCUAACAAAUGAUAUAGUUUCGCUUCGCAUCAAAUAUGCAACAUGUGAAAGGUCGUGGGUUCAAUUCCCACAGUGUCCA